rnacentral:rRNA from 1 species
CCUACGGGAGGCAGCAGUGGGGAAUAGUGCACAAUGGGGGAAACCCUGAUGCAGCGACGCCGCGGGAGAGAUGAAGUAGUUCGGUAUGGAAAGCUCUAUCAGCAGGGAAGAAAAUGACGGUACCUGACUAAGAAGCCCCGGCCAACUACGUGCCAGCAGCCGCGGUAAUACGUAGGGGGCAAGCGUUAUCCGGAUUUACUGGGGGUAAAGGGAGCGUAGACGGCGGUGCAAGCCAGAUGUGAAAGCCCUGGGCUCAACCCUGGGACUGCAUUUGGAACUGUGCUGCUAGAGUGUCGGAGAGGCAGGCGGAAUUCCUAGUGUAGCGGUGAACUGCGUAGAUAUUAGGAGGAACACCAGUGGCGAAGGCGGCCUGCUGGACGAUGACUGACGUUGAGGCUCGAAAGCGUGGGGAGCAAACAGGAUUAGAUACCCGAGUAGUC